rnacentral:lncRNA from 1 species
AGCAUUCUAAAUUGAAGGUAGAGGAAACGGAGAUACCAGUUUGCAGUUGCAGAACCCUUGCUCAGAUAAAGACAUCAUGGACUAGUUUGAACCCAGGCACACGAUUUCUUACCUGUCGAUGCGGAAUGGAUUUGUGAGGUAGUAUAUUCUUUUUUUUGGUGGGAUCCCGCAAUGUGUCAGAGAUCAAGAAAGCUGAUACCUGAUCUUCUACUAUUAAGGUGAGAUAUAGAAGCUGAAAUUAGGCAACUUUGUUGAAUGGAGGUGGUGUAUGGAAGAUUUGGUUUUGUGGGUUUGUCUAUGGAAUGAUAGUAAAGUGUAUCUAUAGUUAAAUCUUUAUUAGGUUUUGGGGUUUUGUUGCUUGAUCUGUAAUCUUUCUUUUGCAAUAGUGUAACCUAAGUUAAUGGGU